UCUCCUGGAAACGGGUGGUAAUGCCGGAUGUUCCACAUGAGCGCAUGCGAGUGUGGGAAAGGCUUUUUGCGGCAUGGGAUGGGGUCGCGUCCUAUCAGCUUGUUGGUGGGGUAACGGCCUACCAAGGCGUUGACGGGUAGCCGGCCUGAGAGGGCGACCGGCCACAUUGGGACUGAGAUACGGCCCAGACUCCUACGGGAGGCAGCAGUGGGGAAUAUUGCACAAUGGGCGCAAGCCUGAUGCAGCGACGCCGCGUGCGGGAUGGAGGCCUUCGGGUUGUAAACCGCUUUUGUUCAAGGGCAAGGCACGGUUUCGGCCGUGUUGAGUGGAUUGUUCGAAUAAGCACCGGCUAACUACGUGCCAGCAGCCGCGGUAAUACGUAGGGUGCAAGCGUUAUCCGGAUUUAUUGGGCGUAAAGGGCUCGUAGGCGGUUCGUCGCGUCCGGUGUGAAAGUCCAUCGCUUAACGGUGGAUCCGCGCCGGGUACGGGCGGGCUUGAGUGCGGUAGGGGAGACUGGAAUUCCCGGUGUAACGGUGGAAUGUGUAGAUAUCGGGAGAACACCA
rnacentral:rRNA from 1 species